CUUGACCUCGGAUCAGGUAGGAUA
rnacentral:rRNA from 1 species